CGAGAACGUCAUGUACGCAAGGGGGUUCCACCAGCUGAGCAGGCGCUGUGAGGAGAAUGUGGUGGCGCAGCUAUAUGAAACGCAGCGCGUGCGUCGCGACGUAGCUGAAUAUAUGUCAGGUACAGGAGCCCCACUUUGCAUUGAAAUGUUGCUUGCCAUGUUACAGGAUACCAUUAACCCACCUGGGCCAUCCGCUGAUGUAAACGGAGGUCUGGGUGCCAUGAAUGCUGUUUAUAACCCAGUCCGACUUAAUCAACCUGGCGGAAGUCAGCGUAGGAAAAAUGGUAGAAUUCAUAUUAACUUGCCCAGGAUCGAUAGUC